CAGUCGAGGGGCAGCAUGGUCUUAGCUUGCUAAGGCCGAUGGCGACCGGCGCACGGGUGAGUAACACGUAUCCAACCUGCCGUCUACUCUUGGACAGCCUUCUGAAAGGAAGAUUAAUACAAGAUGGCAUCAUGAGUCCGCAUGUUCACAUGAUUAAAGGUAUUCCGGUAGACGAUGGGGAUGCGUUCCAUUAGAUAGUAGGCGGGGUAACGGCCCACCUAGUCUUCGAUGGAUAGGGGUUCUGAGAGGAAGGUCCCCCACAUUGGAACUGAGACACGGUCCAAACUCCUACGGGAGGCAGCAGUGAGGAAUAUUGGUCAAUGGGCGAGAGCCUGAACCAGCCAAGUAGCGUGAAGGAUGACUGCCCUAUGGGUUGUAAACUUCUUUUAUAAAGGAAUAAAGUCGGGUAUGGAUACCCGUUUGCAUGUACUUUAUGAAUA
rnacentral:rRNA from 1 species